CGCCUCUUGCUAAACAACAUGUAUAAGAGGUCCAGCCUGCCCAGUGACUAUAUGUUCAACGGCCGCGGUAUUCUGACCGUGCAAAGGUAGCGUAAUCACUUGUCUUUUAAAUAAAGACUAGUAUGAAUGGCACCACGAAGGUUCAACUGUCUCCUGCAUCCAAUCCAUUAAACUGACCUCCCCGUGCAGAGGCGGGGAUACACCCAUAAGACGAGAAGACCCUAUGGAGCUUUAAACUUACGGCAACUGCUAACUAACCUCACCCCACACGGGAUAUCAUCCAACUAAGCAACAAUGACCCAAAGUUUUCGGUUGGGGCGACCACGGAGAAAAAAAAAUCCUCCUUGAUGUACGAGGCCUUACCCUCUUAGCCAAGAACGACAGUUCUAAGCAACAAAACAUUUGACCACUAUUGAUCCAGUCUUACUGAUCAACGAACCAAGUUACCCUAGGGAUAACAGCGCAAUCCAUUUCGAAAGUUCCUAUCGACAAAUGGGUUUACGACCUCGAUGUUGGAUCAGGGCAUCCCAGUGGUGCAGCCGCUACUAAAGGUUCGUUUGUUCAACGAUUAAAGCCCU
rnacentral:rRNA from 1 species